rnacentral:rRNA from 1 species
CUUCCCCCUCCCGGGGGCUCCGGCCCUCAACUCUUCACCCGUUGACGAUAUACCUUUGUUGCUUUGGCGGACCUCGGGACCACUCUCGCACAGGCUUAUAAAUCGGCGAGCGUCCGUCAGAGGCGCCCUUGUAAAUCGACUUAAUUCGUGAAGUCCGAGUUUAAAGAGUAAUAGUAAAAACUUUCAACAACGGAUCUCUUAGGUUCCAGCAUCGAUGAAGAACGCAGCGAAAUGCGAUAAGUAAUGUGAAUUGCAGAAUUCAGUGAAUCAUCGAAUCUUUGAACGCACAUUGCGCCCCCUCGGUAUCCCGGGGCCCAUGCCUGUUCGAGCGUCAUUACACCCCUUCAAGCCGCGGCUUGGUAUUGGGCUCUCGCCCGCGUGGCGUGUCCGAAAAGCAGUGGCGGUCCGGUGCGACUUUAAGCGUAGUAAAUUCGAUCCCGCUUUGAAGUACUCGUCCGCGCCCGGCAGACAACCCCAUCAUUCGUUAUUGACCUCGGAUCAGGUAGGGGUACCCG